GACGAACGCUGGCGGCGUGCCUAAUACAUGCAAGUAGAACGCUGAAGCGAGGAGCUUGCUCUUCUUGGAUGAGUUGCGAACGGGUGAGUAACGCGUAGGUAACCUGCCUUGUAGCGGGGGAUAACUAUUGGAAACGAUAGCUAAUACCGCAUAACAAUGGAUGACACAUGUCAUUUAUUUGAAAGGGGCAAUUGCUCCACUACAAGAUGGACCUGCGUUGUAUUAGCUAGUAGGUGAGGUAAUGGCUCACCUAGGCGACGAUACAUAGCCGACCUGAGAGGGUGAUCGGCCACACUGGGACUGAGACACGGCCCAGACUCCUACGGGAGGCAGCAGUAGGGAAUCUUCGGCAAUGGGGGCAACCCUGACCGAGCAACGCCGCGUGAGUGAAGAAGGGUUUCGGAUCGUAAAGCUCUGUUGUAAGUCAAGAACGGGUGUGAGAAUGGAAAGUUCACACUGUGACGGUAGCUUACCAGAAAGGGACGGCUAACUACGUG
rnacentral:rRNA from 1 species